AAAAGCUGGAAUGUGAACAGAGGAAGGGGUCGUACGUGGUCUGUAAAUACUGGCGAUAUCAGAUCAAGCUUUGUAAUAAGAUUUUUAUCGGGGAGAACACCCAACAGAAAGACCCAUGAUUCACCAACUGGCGCACUGAAAGGGGAGAUUCAUGUCACCUUCAUCAGUCCUUUCUUUAAUCACUGGACACCAUUAAGGGAAAGACCCUCAGACGUGUCAUAAUAGGAUAAAUGCGGCUGCAGGACAAGGCCUGGUGAGAGUCACUACAGAGGAUCAUAGCCAUUGUUGGAAUUCUGAAAGGAUGUGGGUGAAUAUCAAUCUGCCAAAUGAACAUUCACAUCUGUAUAUUAAUACUGAUUAUAUAUGAACUUGUUUGUUUGUAACUGGAAAGAACUUAGCCUCUAUUGUUUUUGACUGAAGGACUUGACCGUGUUUUAAGCCUAUGUGCAUUUUCUAUUACCAGUACCUGCUCUGGCCGUGCUCCAUUUUCCAUUGCAGAUCAUACCCAGAGAUAGUACCCCUCAAUGCUGCUGGUCAGCAUAGCAAGGCCACACACAACUGCCGGGACGUACUGUUCAAUGCGACACACACACCUGCGACCCACAUACAGCUGUCUCUUGAUUUAAGUUAAAACGUUUCAGCAUUACUCAGAAUGUAAAGACAGAUACUUAAAGGUGCUCUAAGCGAUGCCGGGAGUCGUAACUUCUUGUUGACGUUCGAAUUGUUGUCAAACAAAACAGAGGCUAGCUAGACCCUCCUUCCUCCUCAUCCGUGCACUAAGCCCCCCAAACCCCACCCCCAAAUCUUUCUUGUCGGUUAUUGGCUGUAACAGUUUGUUAUGUUUCGUGGUGCGGGUGUGCCCAGUUUGUUUUUCUUGUUGUUUGUGGAGCCUGUGGUGUCUAGAGAGACCGUGUUUUUUUACAGUGUGUUCAGGGGACAGGCAGCUAGCGGAUAGUGAGGAGAUGUUUGCAG
ensembl:lncRNA